rnacentral:rRNA from 1 species
GAGUAAUGUCUGGGAAACUGCCUGAUGGAGGGGGAUAACUACUGGAAACGGUGGCUAAUACCGCAUAACGUCGCAAGACCAAAGAGGGGGACCUUCGGGCCUCUUGCCAUCAGAUGUGCCCAGAUGGGAUUAGCUUGUUGGUGAGGUAACGGCUCACCAAGGCGACGAUCCCUAGCUGGUCUGAGAGGAUGACCAGCCACACUGGAACUGAGACACGGUCCAGACUCCUACGGGAGGCAGCAGUGGGGAAUAUUGCACAAUGGGCGCAAGCCUGAUGCAGCCAUGCCGCGUGUAUGAAGAAGGCCUUCGGGUUGUAAAGUACUUUCAGCGGGGAGGAAGGUGUUGUGGUUAAUAACCGCAGCAAUUGACGUUACCCGCAGAAGAAGCACCGGCUAACUCCGUGCCAGCAGCCGCGGUAAUACGGAGGGUGCAAGCGUUAAUCGGAAUUACUGGGCGUAAAGCGCACGCAGGCGGUCUGUCAAGUCGGAUGUGAAAUCCCCGGGCUCAACCUGGGAACUGCAUUCGAAACUGGCAGGCUUGAGUCUUGUAGAGGGGGGUAGAAUUCCAGGUGUAGCGGUGAAAUGCGUAGAGAUCUGGAGGAAUACCGGUGGCGAAGGCGGCCCCCUGGACAAAGACUGACGCUCAGGUGCGAAAGCGUGGGGAGCAAACAGGAUUAGAUACCCUGGUAGUCCACGCCGUAAACGAUGUCUACUUGGAGGUUGUGCCCUUGAGGCGUGGCUUCCGGAGCUAACGCGUUAAGUAGACCGCCUGGGGAGUACGGCCGCAAGGUUAAAACUCAAAUGAAUUGACGGGGGCCCGCACAAGCGGUGGAGCAUGUGGUUUAAUUCGAUGCAACGCGAAGAACCUUACCUGGUCUUGACAUCCACAGAACUUUCCAGAGAUGGAUUGGUGCCUUCGGGAACUGUGAGACAGGUGCUGCAUGGCUGUCGUCAGCUCGUGUUGUGAAAUGUUGGGUUAAGUCCCGCAACGAGCGCAACCCUUAUCCUUUGUUGCCAGCGAUUCGGUCGGGAACUCAAA